rnacentral:rRNA from 1 species
UACGUAGGGGGCGAGCGUUGUCCGGAUUUAUUGGGCGUAAAGCGCUCGCAGGCGGUUUGGUAAGUCGGAUGUGAAAUCUCCAGGCUCAACCUGGAGGGGUCAUUCGAGACUGCUAUGACUAGAGUUCGGUAGAGGAGUAUGGAAUUCCUGGUGGAGCGGUGAAAUGCGCAGAUAUCAGGAGGAACACCCGUAGCGAAGGCGGCACUCUGGGCCGAUACUGACACUGAGGAGCGAAAGCGUGGGGAGCGAACAGG